rnacentral:misc_RNA from 1 species
AACACUGUUAACCUGCGGUACCUGCGGAGGGAUCAUUACCGAGUUUACAACUCCCAAACCCAAUGUGAACCAUACCAAACUGUUGCCUCGGCGGGGUCACGCCCCGGGUGCGUCGCAGCCCCGGAACCAGGCGCCCGCCGGAGGGACCAACCAAACUCUUUACUGUAGUCCCCUCGCGGACGUUAUUUCUUACAGCUCUGAGCAAAAAUUCAAAAUGAAUCAAAACUUUUAACAAUGGAU